rnacentral:rRNA from 1 species
UGGGGAAUUUUGCACAAUGGGCGCAAGCCUGAUGCAGCGACGCCGCGUGAGGGAUGAAGGCCUUCGGGUUGUAAACCUUUUUCGCUCAUGGUCAAGCCGCAGCUUUGGGUUGUGGUGAGGGUAGUGGGUAAAGAAGCGCCGGCUAACUACGUGCCAGCAGCCGCGGUAAUACGGAAGGUUCGGGCGUUAUCCGGAUUUAUUGGGUUUAAAGGGAGCGUAGGCCGUUUGGUAAGCGUGUUGUGAAAUGUAGGAGCUCAACUUCUAGAUUGCAGCGCGAACUGUCAGACUUGAGUGCGCACAACGUAGGCGGAAUUCAUGGUGUAGCGGUGAAAUGCUUAGAUAUGAUGAAGAACUCCGAUUGCGAAGGCAGCUUACGGGAGCGCAACUGACGCUGAAGCUCGAAGGUGCGGGUAUCGAACAGG